rnacentral:sRNA from 2 species
AACGGUCAAUCGCUGAAUUUUCUGACGAAAACCGGGGGAACCAGGAUCAUGGGGUGAAUCGGCGUUUCACUGAACGUCGUAGGGCGAAUUCUCACCGCCCGAAUCCGUCAGCUAACCUCGGAAGCGAAGUGGGAAGGAUAG